UACGUAGGGUGCAAGCGUUGUCCGGGAUUAUUGGGCGUAAAGAGCUCGUAGGCGGUUUGUCGCGUCUGCUGUGAAAACUCGGGGCUUAACUCCGGGCCUGCAGUGGGUACGGGCAGACUAGAGUGCGGUAGGGGAGACUGGAAUUCCUGGUGUAGCGGUGAAAUGCGCAGAUAUCAGGAGGAACACCGGUGGCGAAGGCGGGUCUCUGGGCCGUAACUGACGCUGAGGAGCGAAAGCGUGGGGAGCGAACAGG
rnacentral:rRNA from 1 species